GAAGGAAUAAAAGAAAACUAAGAGAAAUAGGAUCAUCACCCCAUGGAUGCAGCAGUGUCUUCUCAUGCUCACUCCCUGGCAGACAACUCCAUGUGUCUCACUUGGUAUUGCUGGUGGAAAGUACUGAAAGAAUGAGGACAAUCAUCUCUUCUAAGUGGAAAGAAAAACAAAACAAACAACAAAAAAUACCCCAACAAAA